GAGCACGUAGGUGGGUUUGUAAGCGAAGAAUGAAAUCCCAUGGCUCACCCAUGGAACUGUUCCUCGAACUGCCUUGCUUGAGGGCGGUAGGGGGAAGUGGAAUUCCUGGUGUAGCGGUGAAAUGCGUAGAUAUCAGGAGGAACACCGGUGGCGGAAGCGACUUCCUGGACCGUCCCUGACACUGAGGUGCGAAAGCUAGGGGAGCAAACAGGAUUAGAUACCCUGGUAGUCCUAGCUGUAAACGAUGGGCACUAAGUAGAGGGGUUUU
rnacentral:rRNA from 1 species